rnacentral:lncRNA from 13 species
UCUGGCUUCACUGCCAGCACCCACAGAUCCUAUGGGUGUCUUCCACUGUCUGUCAAAUCCAGGAUAUUGGAAAGCAAAUCUAUGUCUUUUAGGGGCCUAAAUUAAGAAACAUUUUUUGGCAUUAAAAAAAAAAAAAUCUCAGGCCAAAAUUUUAAAUGCUUUGAUCAAAAUGUUCCUCUUAGGUUGUUAACUGCUUUUUAAAACUAGUGUAUUAAGCAUGUCCUCAUUGCUUUGGAGCACCACGUGGCCCUACCUCAGAUGGAUUGAUGGAGAAAUAGAAGUCCUGGGUGUACUCUGAAAUGUCAGAUGAGAGAGAGAGAGAUCAAGCAUUUUCUUAAUGGAUGGUGGAGUCAGCAGCAAAGGUCUGUGACUUGCUAACUUGGAGUCAGCACCCUCUUCUGUAGU